UUGGCCAAUGCUUGCUAAAGAAAGUUUGAAGGCUUUACGUGGACUUGGUUUGCUUUCUCUGGGAGGAAAAUACCUUCUUCGGAGAGUUUUUGAGGUGGUUGCAGAAGCGAGGAGCUCAGAAGCUUUUGUUGCUCUCUGCCUACUGACAGUUGCUGGGACUUCACUCCUAACCUAGAAGUUGGGUUUCAGUGACACGCUUGGAACAUUUUUGGCUGGGGCAUUAUUAGCAGAAACAAAUUUCCGAACACAGAUUGAAGCUGACAUAAGGCCAUUUAGGGGCUUGCUGCUUGGGUUAUUUUUUGUUACUACUGGCACUUCCAUUGACAUGCAGGUAGU